rnacentral:lncRNA from 1 species
UGAGUGGGCGCACCUCCACUAGGCUCCCAGCACAGCUGUGCCUCCGGCAGUACAGACUGCCCACUUGUGUGGGUUCGGAUCGCACAGCGUGGAGCCAAUCCCACCAGGCUGGGCGAGCAUGCCCGGAGAGUUAGCCAAGUCAGGGCCUGGGAGGAAUUCUGCCCUGACUCUGCAAGAGCCAAGGAGACCAAGCGGACGAGAGAAGAUUCAGCUUCGGGUCGCAGAGGUGUGUGGGACUUGUGUCCAGUGGAGUGCAGAUUACACUAGAAUUUCUGGAGUCUCCUAACGUAACUUCUGUUUUAUAGAGGUGUACGGCAUGCCCAUGGUUGGUUUCCCUUUUAUACAUUUCACGGCGUGUGCAUUGUAAUACGCACGGUUCUAUCAGGUAGGACCAGAGUAAGAGACUAGAUUAAAAAAAAAAAAAAAAGACUGAAUCGAGAGUUCGAGUCAUGCACGUGGAGCCUGGUAGUGAGCUGUUUGGAGCAGGGACAGCUGUCGUUUCUGAUGCUCUGACAUCGUCAACAAGUGGCUUCCACUUCCUUCUCUACUGCGACCUCGUGGCCCAGGCAGUAUGUCUACGUUCUGGGCAGCGGAAGAAGAAGGAAACAACUGCACACCACUGCACACCUGCCCCCGGGACAGUUCUUGAAAUGACACCCCACUCUGGCAUCCCAUUGGGUAGAAUUGAGUCAUAUGACCACAACUAGCUGCAAAGGUUUCUGGGAAGUGUAGUCUAUUCUGGCCCACAGGAAUUGGAAAGCCAGAGUGCCAUUUUCCUAGGAGUUACCUGUUGUGGAUGUUGAGUAACCAUUCCCUUCAAAUCCGUGGAAGUUUUAAAGAAAGACUCAACAACUUUCUAAACAGCAUCCU